CGCCCCGACCGGAUGGCUGGUCGCCUUAUGUGGAAGGGACUUGCCUGCUGUUCUCGUGAGCACCACCCCAGCAACACGUCUUCACUGUGGCGGCGGCGGCAGCAGCAGCAGCAGCUGAACCCAGCUUGUAGAUUUCUAACACUCACAGACCCAGUUUCAUCAGAAACAUCAGCGCCAGCCGGCUGGUGCCCCUUCCUCAGCAUCUCUGUUCCUCCAGCUCCAGGAGUGAUGGCUGAUGAGGAUCAAGGCUGCCCCAGGGAGAGAAGCCCAAGGCGUCCUGGGCUACACACCAAUCUAUAUCAUCCUCCGGAAGCACAGGAUGUUUUGACCUAAUUGACCUGAUUCAUAUCCAAAGUUAUAGGACCACCCGAUAGCCAGACCCCACCUGCACUGAUACCAUUUUAACAACUUUUUUACAUGAUCUUUCCUUUGUCCUGUAAAGAAAUAAUUCCCAUAUCUACGCCUUAUAAAUUUAGCCCUACCCUUAACACAUUGCAUCCCUUCCCUGCCCAUGGGUCCUGUCCCCAUGCUACUCUCUGAAUAAAGGACCACUACGACCAGACCUUGAGAGCCCAAAAAUCUUUCUUUCGACUCCUCGGCUCACUGAACCCACAUCAGUAGCUGCUUCCUACAGUUGCUACUUCCAUAGAGCUGUGGUUUUCAGAGGGUGGUCCCCAGACCAGCAGCGUCAGCUGGGAACUUGUUAGAAGUGGAGCAUUCCACGCCCCAUCCCAGACCAGUGGGACUCUUGUGUCAGGCUCAGCAGCCUGUGUUUUAACAAGUGUUCCAGGGAAUUCUGCGAUGUUUAAGAACCGCUGCCUUAGAGUCUCACUUUACCCUUUCAUCAUCUAGAUAACUGUGUACCAAGUUGGCAAUUCCAUAUGUCCUAUAAUUCCACUAUUAUGUUCCAUGUGUUGAAUUCUCUCUGUUAAAGUUACUGGCGUGGUUCUUCUCUCCUCCCUGGACCCCGACGGACCCAGAGCCCACUGCAGUUAUACACGGUAGAGAUGAGGACUCUCCAAGCAGAGCAGUGGGAGUGGGGUGGAGAAGAGCUGACAGACAGAAGCUAUUUGAAAGGUCUUGAUUACUGUUUGGGAGGACGGAGGGGGCCAGGACAGCUCCCGGGUCCCGCCUGGUGGAUUGUGGCGCCCCUUCACAAAAUGCAGGCUCUCUAGGAGGAGGGGUGGCGGGCUGGUGGUGGAGGUGAUCUAUUUGCUUUUGCAUUUGGUGAGGUUCCCACUGAGACACUGAGGGGCAGACAUCCCGUAAGCCAUUGGCUACCGGGUCUUGAGCUGAGGAGAGGGGUCUGCAUAGAGAUGCGGCUUUGGGCACGAUCAGCAUCUAGGUGGCAGCAGAAGCCACGGGCCUGGAUGCGUCUACCCAAGGAGACAAGCAGCACGAGAAGAAGACUCAGAAGGGACAGGCGGUGUGGUGGGAGGAGAGCUGGGAGGGUGAGAAGUUACAGAAAGUGAGGGACAAGGGAGGACCAAGAAGGUGGGUCAAGUGGAGCAGAGAAGCCAAGGAGGUGUAUUAAUCUGGUCUUUUUUUUUUUCUGGAUUCUGAUGCUUUGACACCUGGGGCCUUGCUGAUGCUGCAUGGACUGCCCCUGCCAGGACCCGCCAGUUCCAAAGACAAUAUGCUUGUUUCCUGCAUCACAGAGAAAUUGAAGUCUUCUUUUGAGAAAUCCCUCUAUUUCCUUCCACAAUUCAGAAUAACCCUCACUUUACACCCAUU
rnacentral:lncRNA from 1 species